rfam:Habropoda laboriosa contig6694, whole genome shotgun sequence.
CCGAUUUGCAUUAUUGGGUCAGGAUAGGGUAGGGCAGGGCCAUUCGGCGUGACCAUUCUGUCCCCUGUCCUGUCCCGAUAGUGAGAAUUGG